rnacentral:rRNA from 1 species
ACGGGUGAGUAACACGUAGGUAACCUGCCUGUAAGAUCGGGAUAACUAUCGGAAACGAUAGCUAAGACCGGAUAACUGGUUUUCUCGCAUGAGAGAAUCAUGAAACACGGAGCAAUCUGUGGCUUAUAGAUGGGCCUGCGGCGCAUUAGCUAGUUGGUAGGGUAACGGCCUACCAAGGCGACGAUGCGUAGCCGACCUGAGAGGGUGACCGGCCACACUGGGACUGAGACACGGCCCAGACUCCUACGGGAGGCAGCAGUAGGGAAUCUUCCGCAAUGGACGCAAGUCUGACGGAGCAACGCCGCGUGAGUGAUGAAGGUUUUCGGAUCGUAAAGCUCUGUUGCCCUAGACGAACAGCAAGGCGAGUAACUGCGCUUUGUGUGACGGUAUAGGAGAAGAAAGCCCCGGCUAACUACGUGCCAGCAGCCGCGGUAAUACGUAGGGGGCAAGCGUUGUCCGGAAUUAUUGGGCGUAAAGCGCGCGCAGGCGGUCAAUUAAGUUGGGUGUUUAAGCCCGGGGCUCAACCCCGGUUCGCAUCCAAAACUGGUUGACUUGAGUGUAGGAGAGGAAAGUGGAAUUCCACGUGUAGCG